ACUGAACGCUGGCGGUAGGCCUAACACAUGCACGUCGAACGGCAGCUCAGUACGACUUUGCUUUUAUGGCUGGCGACUCGCGCACGAUUGACGAAUACCUCACUCUCUACUUCUUAGUGGGCGACUACGUCGGGCAACCUACUCUAAUACCUCAUACUUCCAUCGGCUGAAAGCAGGGACUAUUUCCCCCUUGCGCGCUCGAAUCACUCGAUCCCGUUUUAGCUAGUUGGCCGGGUAAAGGCCCACCAAGCCUACGAUCUGUAGCUGAUCUGAGAGGAUGCUCAGGCACACUGGAACGGGGAGACGCUCCAGACUCCUACGGGAGGCAGCAGUGAGGAAUAUUGGACAGUGGGCGCAAGUCUGAUCCAGCCAUACCGCGUGGGUGAAGAAGGCCUUCGGGUGGUAAAGCCCUUUUGUUGGGAAAGAAAAGCAGCAGGUUAAUACCCCGCUGUUCUGACGGUACCCAAAGAAAAAGCACCGGCUAACUUCGUG
rnacentral:rRNA from 1 species